UACGUAGGUGGCAAGCGUUAUCCGGAUUUAUUGGGUGUAAAGGGCGCGCAGGCGGGAAGCCAAGUCAGCUGUGAAAACUACGGGCUUAACUUGCAGACUGCAGUUGAAACUGGUUUUCUUGAGUGAAGUAGAGGUUGGCGGAAUUCCGAGUGUAGCGGUGAAAUGCGUAGAUAUUCGGAGGAACACCGGUGGCGAAGGCGGCCAACUGGGCUUUAACUGACGCUGAGGCUCGAAAGUGUGGGGAGCAAACAGG
rnacentral:rRNA from 1 species